rnacentral:misc_RNA from 1 species
GGGGUGAAUGAGGGAAAGUGCAGGAUGUGUGAAUGCGAGAAGAUUGCUUUAUUGCAGUUCGAUUCUGGUGUUGUCCUUAUUGAAUUGAAUGAUCAACACAAAAAAAUGNUGAAGAUGUAUUAUCCUUCAGUCUCCUCUCAGCUGCCAAAGCAGCAGCCACGGCAGGAGGCAAAUGUCUUAGACUUUCAGUGGUUUCUUCCUCACCUUUUG